rnacentral:rRNA from 1 species
UACGAAGGGGACUAGCGUUGUUCGGAAUUACUGGGCGUAAAGCGCACGUAGGCGGAUUUGUUAGUCAGGGGUGAAAUCCCGGGGCUCAACCUCGGAACUGCCUUUGAUACUGCAAGUCUCGAGUCCGAUAGAGGUGGGUGGAAUUCCUAGUGUAGAGGUGAAAUUCGUAGAUAUUAGGAAGAACACCGGUGGCGAAGGCGGCCCACUGGUCCGGUACUGACGCUGAGGUGCGAAAGCGUGGGGAGCAAACAGG